ACCGAGACUCCGCAAGUAGUGGCGAGCGAACGCGGACCAGGCCAGUGGCAAUGAUGAAUAAAGCGGAACGAUUUGGAAAAGUCGGCCAUAGAGGGUGAUAGCCCCUUACGCGUAGAACAGUCAUUGUCCUUGAGUAGGGCGGGACACGUGAAAUCCUGUCUGAACAUGGGGAGACCACUCUCCAAGCCUAAGUACUCGUGCAUGACCGAUAGCGAACAAGUACCGUGAGGGAAAGGUGAAAAGCACCCCGACGAGGGGAGUGAAAUAGAACCUGAAACCGGAUGCCUACAAACAGUCGGAGCCCGCAAGGGUGACGGCGUACCUUUUGUAUAAUGGGUCAACGACUUAGUGUAACUAGCAAGCUUAAGCCGGUAGGUGUAGGCGCAGCGAAAGCGAGUGUUAAUAGCGCGACAUAGUUAGUUGCAUUAGACCCGAAACCGAGUGAUCUAGCCAUGAGCAGGCUGAAGGUUGGGUAACACCAACUGGAGGGCCGAACCCAUAACUGUUGCAAUAGUUCGGGAUGACUUGUGGCUAGGGGUGAAAGGCCAAUCAAACUCGGAAAUAGCUGGUUCUCCGCGAAAUCUAUUUAGGUAGAGCGUCGACCUUAUACCCUCGGGGGUAGAGCACUGGAUGGGCUAUGGGGACUCACCGUCUUACUGAUCCUAACCAAACUCCGAAUACCGAGGAGUACUAGUCGGCAGACACACGGCGGGUGCUAACGUCCGUCGUGAAAAGGGCAACAACCCUGACCUCCAGCUAAGGUCCCCAAGUCAUGGCUAAGUGGGAAAGGAUGUGAGGAUCCCAAAACAACCAGGAUGUUGGCUUAGAAGCAGCCAUCAUUUAAAGAAAGCGUAACAGCUCACUGGUCUAAAUAAGGGUCUUUGCGCCGAAAAUGUAACGGGGCUAAAGCCAUGCACCGAAGCUGAGGAUUUGCACUUUGUGCAAGUGGUAGCGGAGCGUUCCGUAAGUCUGUGAAGGGGUACCUGUGAGGGGCCCUGGAGAUAUCGGAAGUGCGAAUGUUGACAUGAGUAACGAUAAAGGGAGUGAGAGACUCCCUCGCCGAAAGACCAAGGGUUCCUGCUUAAAGUUAAUCUGAGCAGGGUUAGCCGGCCCCUAAGACGAGGCGGACACGCGUAGUCGAUGGGAACCACGUUAAUAUUCGUGGGCCUGGUGGUAGUGACGGAUCUCGUGUGUUGUUCAACCUUAUUGGAUUGGUUGGGCGGCGAAGAGGUUCCAGGAAAUAGCUCCACCGUAUAGACCGUACCCGAAACCGACACAGGUGGUCAGGUAGAGUAUACCAAGGCGCUUGAGAGAACUAUGUUGAAGGAACUCGGCAAAUUGCACGCGUAACUUCGGAAGAAGCGUGACCCUUUUGUACGCAAGUAUGAUGGGGUGGCACAGACCAGGGGGUAGCGACUGUUUAUCAAAAACACAGGGCUCUGCGAAGUAGCAAUACGACGUAUAGGGUCUGACGCCUGCCCGGUGCUGGAAGGUUAAAGGGAGGGGUGCAAGCUCUGAACUGAAGCCCCAGUAAACGGCGGCCGUAACUAUAACGGUCCUAAGGUAGCGAAAUUCCUUGUCGGGUAAGUUCCGACCUGCACGAAUGGCGUAACGACUUCCCCGCUGUCUCCAACAUAGACUCAGUGAAAUUGAAUUCCCCGUGAAGAUGCGGGGUUCCUGCGGUCAGACGGAAAGACCCCGUGCACCUUUACUAUAGCUUUACACUGGCAUUCGCCAAGGCAUGUGUAGGAUAGGUGGUAGGCUUUGAAGCAGGGACGCCAGUUUCUGUGGAGCCAUCCUUGAAAUACCACCCUUAUCUUCGUGGAUGUCUAACCGCGGUCCGUUAUCCGGAUCCGGGACAGUGUAUGGUGGGUAGUUUGACUGGGGCGGUCGCCUCCGAAAGAGUAACGGAGGCGCGCGAUGGUUAGCUCAGACCGGUCGGAAAUCGGUCGUCGAGUGCAAUGGCAUAAGCUAGCCUGACUGCGAGACUGACAAGUCGAGCAGAGACGAAAGUCGGUCAUAGUGAUCCGGUGGUCCCGUGUGGAAGGGCCAUCGCUCAACGGAUAAAAGGUACGCCGGGGAUAACAGGCUGAUGACCCCCAAGAGUCCAUAUCGACGGGGUUGUUUGGCACCUCGAUGUCGACUCAUCGCAUCCUGGGGCUGGAGCAGGUCCCAAGGGUAUGGCUGUUCGCCAUUUAAAGCGGUACGUGAGUUGGGUUCAGAACGUCGUGAGACAGUUCGGUCCCUAUCUGCCGUGGGUGUAGGAAUAUUGACAGGAUCUGUCCCUAGUACGAGAGGACCGGGAUGGACGUAUCUCUGGUGGAUCUGUUGUCCUGCCAAGGGCAUAGCAGAGUAGCUAUAUACGGAAUGGAUAACCGCUGAAGGCAUCUAAGCGGGAAACCAACCUGAAAACGAGUGUUCCCUAUCAGAGCCGUGGAAGACGACCACGUCGAUAGGACGGGUGUGGAAGCACAGCAAUGUGUGAAGCUUACCGUUACUAAUAGCUCGAUCGACUUCUUCGUUCCCAUU
rnacentral:rRNA from 1 species